UCUGCUGAGCUCUCUCUGAAGUGCGAUGGGCUAAACAAGUGUGCAUAUGGUGAUUGUAGUCCUGAUAAACUUGCAGUAGGCUACCCCAGGUGUUAAAAACCAAGGAGGGCAAACUCAGGCUAAGGACACCUCAGAGACAAUACAGAAAUAAACUGCACUUUCAAGGAAGGUUUACAGCUCUUCGUUCGAGUCUGCAAAUUAUUGU
rfam:Rattus norvegicus chromosome 4, whole genome shotgun sequence.